rnacentral:lncRNA from 1 species
AUCCACCCUUUGAUUGACUCAACUUCCUGGCUUGUGUCUAAGAAUUUGGCCUCAACAGCCAGUUCAGAGAACAGUGCUGUAUGAGGUCUUCAUCAAUACAAAACAUAUGGUAGAUCCUGAAGAUCUGCAGCUGACCCAGAAUUCUACAGGAGCGAUUUUUACAUUCAUGUGGGAUAAAGCUUAAAAAUGUAUGCAAGGGAGGUCAAGAUCAUGAUAGAGAAAUCUACAGAGACAGCUGAACCAAGCUUUGGAAACUCAUGAACUCUAGACAUACAACUGUGGAGACUCCAGGAGACUGAACUAGGCCCUUCAUAUGUGAAAGACAGUUGUGAAGCUCGAACUAUAAGAGGGGCCCCUGUCAGUAGAACCAAGAUACAAACCUGGUACAUAAGCUAGCUUGUUGAGCUCAUUCCCUAUGGUGGAAUGCCAUAUUCAGUCUUAAGACACAGGAGCCAGAAUGUGUUGACUUCUCAUGAGAGUCCUUACCAGUGAGGAGGAGUGGAUUAGGAGUGGGAUGAGACAAGGUAAGGAGGG